rnacentral:RNase_P_RNA from 1 species
GCGGGAGUGAAAGAUGUCUGCUGUGCCCCAAAAGCACAGAGGAAAGUCCGGACACCAUGGGCAGGAUACUUCCUAACGGGAAGCUGCAGCAAUGCAGAGCAGCUCCACAGAAACAAACCGCACAGUGCCAAUUUGGCGCUGUGUAAGGGUGAAAUGGUGGUGUAAGAGACCACCGGUGCCAUUGGUGACAGUGGCAGCCAGGAAUGCCUUAUCCGGUGCAAUGCCAAAUAGGGAAGCUAUGGUGUGCCCACACCGCUUCCGGGUAGGCAGCUAGAGCCAAAGCGAGAGUUUUGGCCCAGAGGGAUAGACAUCGGUCCCCCCGGGGAUUACAGAAUCCGGCUUAUUGAGCUCCCGCGCUU